ensembl:snoRNA small nucleolar RNA SNORA17
AUGGCCCCUAGAAGUGAUGCAGGUGUGACUGCUGUGUCCCGUGUGUGCCAGUAGGUGGCAAAGAGAAGCGAGGCCGUGUCUAUGUCCAGUGUUCUGACCUAUGGACAUCUGAAUGUCUAGUAGCCUGACAGUCCCU